CUCAGUUUUUCAAAGGGAAGAGUUUCAAUCCCUGGAUCAAAACUCCUGAGCCCCACUAGCCAUUUAUAUGAAGAUAAUAAUAAAUAUUAUUUCAUGGCCCCUUGCCUUGUGGUUAACCAACUUCACUAGAAUGGCAACGUCUGUAGUAAAUGUGUUAAACUCACAGUGAAUAGUGCUCAUUUACUAGCAUCUACUCAUGUCUCCUC
rnacentral:lncRNA from 1 species